UUUAAGAGAAGUGGAUGGAAACAUUCCUUGAACAAAAUACACGAAAGAAACUUUAGAUUCAAAACAUCCUUAUCCUUAAUCCAUCAUCGGUUCGGCCAACUGACUCUCGUCAUUCCAACGAUCAUGGAUCUGAAAAGUUUAGCAUAACAUACUUUGAGUAUAAGGAAAUACUCAGUAAGAUACCAUGCUUGAACAUUUAUCAUGAUAAUACUACACCAAAGAAAGCAAUCAAACCCAUACUUCCAUAUUCCGACAUGCCGGUGCCCUUCGGACUUGUCCUAAGGCAUAGAUAUAUCUAACAUUUGUGGAUUUCUCCACCAUAAUCAUAACAUUUGUGGAUUUCUCCACCAUUAACAUACUUUGGUUUUUCAUGCAUAACUUAAGCAUAAAUAUUACCAUGAAAAUCAUACCACAUAAGCAUAGAAGGUAUCUUACCGUAAAACUUGAUGAUCUUUGUUUGAAAUGAAUUGAAAGUGCUAAACUUUCUUCCUUCUUCUUUCUUUUCUAAAUUUCGGUUUUUGCUCUCUUUUUAAGUGUAUAAGUGUUUUGUAAAAUGAAGGAAAUAUCUCUAUGGC
rnacentral:lncRNA from 1 species